rnacentral:sRNA from 1 species
UUCUAGCCCCGGUGGGAGCGGCAUCCUUUGCCUUUUUUCUUUACAAAAGGCAAAGAUAUAGCUGACGACGGGACUUUGU